rnacentral:RNase_P_RNA from 1 species
CCAGACGGUCGGACGGCCGCGGUGCGGCCUUGCCUUUGCGGCAGGACAGCAUCGAGGAAAGUCCGGGCUCCACGGAAACAAAGGUGCCGGGUAACGCCCGGCGGGGGCGACCCCAGGGAAAGUGCAACAGAAAACAGACCGCCAACCGGGCUUCGGCCCGCGGCAAGGUUGAAACGGUGGGGUAAGAGCCCACCGCGGACGCGGCAACGCGGACGGCAUGGCAAACCCCACCUGGAGCAAGACCAAAUAGGGGCGGCACGCAGACACGCGCAAGCGUUCUGCCGUCGGUUUCCGGACCGCCGCCCGGGUCGGUCGCGCGAGGUGCCUGGCAACAGGCACCCAAGAGGAAUGGUCGUCGCCGUCGCCCCUUGUUGCAAGCGAUUGCGCAAGAGACGACGACACAGAACCCGGCUUACAGACCGUCUGGCAUU